GUCUCACUCAGUCAAUCCAAGUUGCGACAGAUUGUGACUAACGCGUGUCCAAGUCUUCAAAGUCUAAAGUUGAGUCGCAACGGUCGCAUUAUAUCUCCUGUUUGUUGCUUGAAACAACUAACCAAGGAAUAUUUUGUGUGAAAGAGAAUGGAUUAUCAUAAGAAGAGACGCAAGAAACUGAAGUCCUGUCAAGAUAACAUGUGAAGUAAGGAGUUUGGCGAAAGUUGUAUCUUACAGUUUUUAUCAGUCUUUGCAUACCACCCUUUAGGCAUCAUGCGUAAGAAUAUGGAUCAUGAUGUAAACUGAGAGGGCUACAUCCAAAUUAUCUAGCCAUGGCUGAAUCUGUGAAUAAGGAGGUAAAGGAACCCAGCUCUAUGGAGGACAGCAGUGCUGGGUAUGAGACGUCCGAAGGGGAAUGUCUGGAAGAAGAAACCAGCGACGUCUAUGCUCAGCUGGCUCACAAAGAACGUGACCUGAUCUUGGCUGCUGAAUUGGGGAAGGCUCUGCUGGACUCAAAUCAAGAGCUGCAGACUCGCUAUGAUCAGAUGGUUGAGGAUUUCUCUCGAAAGAUAGAGAUUUUACAGCAAGAGAAGUAUGACCUUCAUCUGGAGCUUGAGAAGGCAGGUACCCAACACCAGAACACUGUGAAAGACUUGCAAGAUGACGUGGCCUCAUUGCGGAAACAACUUCGCAACUCUGAUCAGAUUGAGUCGAGUGAAAGAGAAAGGUCAAGGUCACUGCGUGAAGCUCAACAGAAUACGGAUUACCUGAUGGAGCAGAUGCGCCAGGUCUCGGCCAAAGAGGAAGAGCUUCAGAAAGAACUGAGUAGGCAGAAAGAGCAGAAUGAGACAAGUGUGGCCACAAUACAGGAUCAGAUUGACCAUAUUGCUAUGUUGAGAGAGCAGGUGGAGUAUCUCAGUGAAAAGCUGAGGGAGGCAAAUCAAAAAAUGAUUGACAUGGAAGGAGAACGAGACUCACUGACAAACGCUCUGGAGGCAGCGCAUGAGAAGUUACAGGCUUUAGAACUAGAGUUGGCUUCACGGGAUGAGCAGAUUCUAAAGCAAAACCAUGAGGUGGAAGAACUUCAAGAAUCAAAUUCGGAACUUCAAGAACAAUUGCGGCGAAGAAAUCAAAUUCAGUACCACUACUCACCAUAUCCAAACAUUGCUUUCACCCAAGGUCAUGGGAAUGUAAGAAGCUUUGACAGACCAGCUGCCCAAGCAAACCAUAAUGAUCUCAGCAAAAAUCAGAGGAACAGCCAGAAUGUUCCAUCUCUAAUCUCUCAGAAUCUCCCCCCAGAACCAGCCACAUUCCAUGGUGGUCAUCAAAAGACCAAAGGAUCACCAGAGGAUAUAGAGUGCAGUAAUACUUCCCCCCCGUCUGAUCCAUCUGCCGAAAAUUCAAAUGUUGACCAGAGAAUGAAUGAAAAGUCUUUGCUGGCGGAGUUCAAUGAUUCCUGCCCCGAGCUUGGGAAUGAUGAAAGUCCUCCUUUGCUGUCACAUCUUUCGAUAGCCACAGAAUCCUCAUUGCCUCUUCGCCAUCGCAGAAAUAUUAGCGACGGCAGCAUAUCGUCCAUGACGGAAGGGUCUCGCAAGCGGCACCAUCAGAAUAUCGGAGGAGAUAGUGAUGAUGAAGAUGUAAACAGAGCAGGAGAUAAGACUGGACCCAGCAGUGGCUGCAAGCAAACUCUUUACUCUAAAUCUAUCACAAAGCAUCAAAUGCCACAGAAAAUGGUGUCGGAAAAGUCUCGUGUCAUUCUCAGCUCUUACUCAGAAAAUAACAGUGAAGUUUGUCAGCCAGCAGUAAAGAAAGAGAAGGACCAAACUCUGUCAUCUGUGGCUAUUUCUCAGGAAGAAAAUCUGUGCAAGGCCCUCAUAGCCAGUGAGGAAGCUGCCACUGUGUUAGUUGUUGGUCCGCCUCUAUCAUCUGGGCCUACAUUUCAGGUGAAAGACGUCAUCCAACGCAGUUUAUCUCUUCCGACAGACGAAUUCUCCGAGCCUGAUGGGGAGUGUGGAAUGAUUACAAGCCCCGAUUCAAACGAGAAGUCGUUACUCUCUGAACUGUCCUCUCACAUUCUCGACUCAGGCUCAUACAGUUCGUGUCCACCAGAACAGUCUCUGUUUUCUGAGCUUUCCUCUCAACUGAUGGAAGACAAAAAUGGCGGGAGCUGCUCGGACUCGUCAUCCACGUGCAUGAUGGGAGUGUUUGACUUCUCCUCCGGACAGGAGGGCCAUGACAAUGAGCAAGGAUCAGAAGAUCUGUUUACUGAUUCUCACUCAGGAAGACCUACCAGACAUGAGAUGGAUGUCUGGCAUAACACGACCUGCGUGGCAGCGGACUUGUUGGAUGAAGAUGACUUUGAGUGUGACGACGAUGACUUUCUCGUUGGGAACUUGGCCGGGACCACCUUGUCUAUCGGUGAUAGCGGACACCGUACCUUACAUUAUCAGUACCAUUGCUAUGGUGUGGAGGAGGCCGAGACUGACAGUCGAACCGAUGCUUUGUAUCGGGAUGAUGCGUCUUCCAAGUGGAAAGCAAUGAGACAACCUGGGGCCAGGGACUCACAGCAGGAGAAAAUUUCCCUGGCCUGUGUUCAGUUACGGGAACUGGUACAGAAGGUGCAGGGCCAUCCAGCUCCAUCACCACAGCCUGCUGCUGCUACUAAGGGCCCUGAGGCCGUGACCCCUGACGACCUUCUUGACCUCAUCGAACAGAUGAGACUCUGCAUUGACCGAAUGCCCGUCAUGCAGGCUGACAGUGCUGAGCAACAAGGUACCACCAGCUGUAAUGCACAGAGUAUCAGUGGAGAGGAAGGGUCGGCGAAAGGUCAAGAGCGGGGUGUGGGUCAAGAUGUGCAGAUCUCCCAGAAAAGUGCUCAGAUGAGAAAGUCAAAAUCCUCCUCUUCCCUUCACCUAAGGAUGUCUCUUUAAAGGGGACAUUGCAGCUUGUUGUGCCAGUGUUGAGAGGGAACAAACAACGGUUGUGCAAUUGUGGAGUGGGAACAUAGAAAGAACAGUUGUAUUUAAGCACAGAGUGGGAAUUUUUAAAAAAACUGUUGUGUGUUUAGUGGGAACAAAGAAAGAACUGUUGUGACAGUAUAGAGUGGGAAUUUAUUUUUUAAAAACAGUUGAAACAUGAAAGAACAGAUGUCAGUCUAUCAUAGGAACAAAGAAAGCACUGUUAUGUCAGUGUGUGGUAGGAACGAAGACCGGUUGGGUCUGUGUGAAGUGGGUUGUGCUUUACUUUUACCAAUAGCUGUAGAGCAGUGGAAAGGGUAAGGUGGGAGGCGGAACAUAGUAACCGAUGUUUUACUUGGGUAAAUAGUGCUUUGUUAUGGGAUUGGUGAGUUCGUUUUGAGAUGAAAUUGAUUAUGUGUGAAGCUCUGCGAUGUGUUAUAGCCACUGUGGAAGUUUCUGGAGGGUUCAGAUUCUGAAGAAAAGGCAUGUAGGACUUACAGUUCCCUGGCGUCGGUCAAAAGAUGGAUGGCUUUUCCUGCCACCUUGACUGUAUGUUUUCAGCCAAGGAAUUAAAAUCAAGGUUGCAAAGCUACAGCAUGGGUUUUUUUUCCUCCCCAUUCCUUUUCUCUGGUCCCCUGGGAAUUUUUUUUUUUUUUUAAACAUCAGCAACCACGGGUCUAUUAGAUGUCACAGAGGCAAGAGAUACAAGGAUACAUGUGACAGAUUAUGGUGUUUAGGUUCAGUGGACCGGAUUCUUUUUUGGUCAUGAUCAUUCGUGGCAAAGCCACCAUGUGCUUCCAGUGCUAUUUCAAAAUUCUGUCAGAAUUUCCGGAUUUCCGACUGCUUUGUUGUGUAAAUGACCCCCUGUGUUCUUGCCAUGUGAGCCUUUUUCUCCCCCCCCCCCCCCCCCCCCCACUAAUUGGUCAACAUUGUGCUUCAUUCACGUUCACUCCUGCUGCUGAUGCCCUCAGCAUUUUCUCCAUGUAGUAUGCUUGGCCUUAUGGUUGUACAGCUCCUGUGAAUAUAUUUAUAUAUCAUGUAUAGUCACACUUACUGUUAUAUGUUUCGAAUGUACGCAUAAAGAAACUGGGGUAUUAGAGACCUUUUAAGGAACUAUGGCAGUAUUCCAGAAUUUUAAAAAGAGGUAGACACACUGGCAUUUAUAUUGAAUUGUUGUUGUUGUUUGAUGUUUUCAAAUCUCUUUAGCUGCGAGCAUUUCGCUCAUGGCAGCGCAAUGCCCCCCUCAAGUAACUACAUGUCCUUGUCAUCUUGUCAACGCCAGUUUUUAUUGAGUAAAACGUGUUAUAAUUGAAGACGUUUUUCUUUUUUCAAUUAAAAAACUUUUAGUCACAUAUUAUUUCAAUUUUGGAUUGUAAUGCUGAGUUUGCAACAGACAUAAAUGAUUACACUGUAUGAUCGUAUUCUGUGGUAGACUUUAUUUGCCGUAAUUGGAGACAGUAAGUAUUUUUCCCUUCAAAAUGCUUUAACUCCUUUGUGAUUCUACACGAUAGAAUUCUGAUCUGUAACUGCAUAAUUGUAUUCUCACUCUUCACUUGUUGUCUCAGGUAGGCUUCAUCCCCAUCAUCAUGACGAUCUUUGUAAGAUGUCAUGUACCAGGGUUGGCAUCUCUUGAAUUCUUUUAAAAAGAGUCGGGGAAAAGGGUUGGGGGUUUUAUUUGUUGUUGGGUUUUUUUCCUUUUUAAGAGUUUGGCUUAACAUGUAAAGCAUAAAAAGGAGAAAGGAAGAAAAGAGGGGGGGGGGGGGGUUCCCAUCCUUUUCUGUGUUGUGUCUUAUUCUUUGUAUUUGUAAUGAAGAUACAAGUCCCACCUGUGUCAGGGUGAGGAACCUUCCCAUCAGAUGACAACAUGGACUGUGACAUUCAGCAGUCGCGAGCACCAAGCCAGUUCUCUGCAAGCCUUCAACAAGUUCUUCGGUUACUAUAUAAACAGACAGUGCUUCUAUAGCUUGCUAAGCUACAGAUUUUGUGAAAGAAAGACGUGCAAGCUUCGAUACACUUGUGAAAGAAAGAAAGAUGCUGGUGCUGCGUCUUGCCAGACCAUUAUGUUGGUGCUAUUUGUUUAUUUUGAUGAUAACAGUUUGAUGUUGGAGAGAUUUGGUGCUGAUGUUAAUACUGGUUGGGUUUUUAAAGGACAGUUUCCUAGUCGUAUACUGGACAAUUGGGUAGGGGCACACUCCUCGUUGUAAUCAUUUUUUUUUAGAUCAAAUGUUUGGUGUUUGUGUCCGACUUUUUCCAUGUCUUGCGUAGCAGGGCGGAAUGAAGAAUGCCAAAGUUUGUCACACUGCUCUUAACGUGAAGACAGCGCACAGUAGAUAAUUAUUUUUUUUUCUGCAGUCACCAUUCCUGUGUCUUUACGUAUUUUGUUGUUAGCUAGACUUUGUUGCCUUGUUGUUUUUUUACCCAUCACUGACAUUCCCAAAGCCCGGACCAUCCAUGAUGCUGGUUUUUAGCUCUGUUUUUAACUGUUGCCAUCCACUGCUCCUUUUGCCUUCAUAUGUAUUUUGCAAUCAUGUUUUGCUACUCACUAAAUUUUUUGGUAAGUUAUGUUUGGAGGUUGCAGAGGUUUAACUUUUGGUAUAUAGUUUUGGGUGGAUUUUUGUUUUUAAUUGUUUGCCUCUGAGUCUAGAAUUGCUGGGGCAAGUAAAAUGGCACAGUUGAGUACUCACUUUACCUUAUUCUUUGAGAUGUGUUCAUUUUCUGUCGUAACUCACUGACUGCUGGUGUUGGUACCCCAAUUCAACCCUGGCUGCCGGCAUGCAAAGGGUGAUUUAGAACAUUAAUUGUCGGAUGACUUUUCUAGACGAACACUUAUAAUAUAAUUUUUACCAUCUAUAAUUUUUAUGUUGUGUUUUAUUGAGGGGAAAACAGAUUUUCAAUUAGUGUCAUACUUUUUUUAAAAUGAUUAUUUGAAAUAUAUGGACAAAAAUUAAAUCUUGAUUACAUGAGUCAUUGUUGAGGAAGUGCUUGAAGCAGCCUCUAAGGCAUGGAUUUAGGUUUGUUUUUUGUAAACCCUUUUUAACGAAAUAAUUGAGAUCUGAAUAUUCUAAGUCUUUCUUGUGACCAUCUUGUAUGCCAUGUUGAAUAUCAGAACCCACACAAAUGAACAGUUUUACUUUUAGAGGUUGGACGAUAUUCAAGUUCAAGUUCAACAUAAAAUUCAGGCACCACUCUGCCAGAUGUAAAAGAUACCCAUUGAAAAGCACCUCAGUAUAAAAGAAAACCUUCAAAAGCAACACUAAUGGAUCGAGGGACACAGCCAAGAUUGUUCGUGAAUGGGUAAAUAAUGUAAAUAUAGUACAGAAAUUGAAACUGGCAGGGGUGCAGGUUUGGGAUUUCUUGUAUGUCUAGACUUACGGACGCAGUGUCGGUUCGGCAGUCAGUGAGUCAAAGCGAGUCCUAUUUCCAAGACUUUGUUAGGCUUGUGCUUGGUUGACCUUAAUUUUCUACCAGUAAAUGAGGGGUUGGUCUUUGUCCACCCGACUUUUUCUCAAGGUACUCUCUGUCUGGAUAUGCCUUGGUCUGCUAUCCCAGAGUCACAAUUUAUAAUUCUGAAAUGAAAUUAUCAAACCCAUAUGAUAAAGCAGUAAGGGAAGAGCACAGCUUAUUUCAAAGCUAAAAUCAUUCUUGGUAUACUGAGGAUCAAAGAUGUUUUGCGUUGGAAGAUCGGUGAUCGCUGAUUUUACAACGCAACAUCUGUUUUGCUAUACAUGUGUAUGAAAUUUCUUACUUUCACUGAGUAGGUAAUAAGAUUGUACCUUAAUCAGUUUUAUAUAUAAUGUAUUUACUUCAUUGCUCAUUAAUGUUGCCUCUAUUGUAUCUCAUAUGGUUAAAUGAUUUGUUGAUUUCUUGCAUUACAUCAAUGAAGUUGUCAUCUUGCUCACGCUGUUCCUCGAUGCGGUGGAAUCAGACACUCGUCAAUAUUUGGGCAUUUGGAGAUAUUGUUAUCAACUUAAAGCGUGCUCAUUUGUCUGUCUUUUGAUGAGAAAAAAAGUACCCAUUUGACUUGGAUAAAAGUUUUGGUGUUUACGAUUGAAGGAGGUGGGAGUCACUUGGUUUCAGCGGUAAAAUAAGCAAGAAAAUGGCCACCAAAGUUUGGUGACUUGCAAAGCUUGAGAUUCCUUGGAAACUGAAAAUUUACAUUUUGUUUGCUUUUAAUCAAUGUAUUUUUUUUAAAAAUCAACACAACAAUGUGUAUUUAAAUGAAGGUGGAAAAAAAAGAUGAUUAGUCAAAAACCAAAAAUUUGAUAAAAAUUGCUGAACUGUCUGAAAAUUUCUGUAUCUUCAAUUUCAUUAUUUUGACAAGCGCCUGAUUUCACCACACUGCCUCGCAUAUUUCUUCACGUGUACAUUCUGUGUGUGGAGAGGUUGGGCUUUCCUGAGGCCUGGUCAUGUGUAUCUAUAUCAUGAGAAGCGUUACAAGUACAGACCCUGUUGUAGAAAGUCCAGCUUGUGGAAGUUCAUCACCGGAUGUUGCUUUUGAUCUCACAAAAAUGAUUUUUGAAACUUUUCAUUCAUAUUGACACUUAUUUAAUCAUGUUAUAUGUGGUUGGGGUGGAGUGUUUUUUUUUAAUUCACUAAGUACUUUGUGUUCAAUGUGGAAUAGCUGAUCUUUUGAUUAAUAUAUUAGUCUACAAUUUAAGUACUCAGUUUUGUAUUUAAUUAUGUUUUUUAUUAAUGAAGAAAUAAUUUGUUCUCCACAUUAUGAACCUGCCCAAACCAUAAGUGUUCUGCCUGUCCUCAUCUUUUAAAGGCUCUUCUGAAUGAACAUGUCAGUGAAGAUGUCAAAAGUUAUGUCAAAUUGCUCCGACUUGAAAAUGAAACGAGACAUAAAAAAUACAUUACCCACCAAUAUAAAAACGAUCAGUGAAUGUUCCAUCUCAACAUCCCGAUAGGCCUAUGUAUUUAACAUGAAACACAUGCAAAUUGUUCAGGGUUGACAACAUUUGUGUAUACCACUUGUCACAAAAAUAGAGGAUUUAGCUUCAUAAAAUGUGCACCACAUCAUACUCACAUAGUUUAACUAAAUUUGCCGCAUCUCCCAUUUCUGAACAUUUACAUUGUAUAUUUUGCUUACACGCAUUUAUGGUUCAACAGUGGUUCGUAUAUGUUUCUCGUUAAAUAGUAGGGGCAAUGAGCAGGGAUGCCAAAUGUCUGGUUUUUCCGGGGUUUCUUCACUUGCAAAGGAAAGGGCAGAGGUAAGAGAGAAUAUGCUUUUGUUUUCUCAUUUAAAAGCUUUACAAGGUUCGGUGAGAUGUGAUGCUCCGCUCAUUUUCAGGUGUUUUUUUUUGCAAAAAUCAUUUGGCAUCCCUGAAUGAGUUAUUGAAGGAUUCAGAGAGUUAUGAACUAUUCGUAGAUGAGGUUUGGGACUUCAAGCUAUGGGAUGUGGCUUUUGGUUUCCCCACCUUCCCUACAGACGAGGGAGGAGACAGAAGACUGUUCGCUUUAGUUGGGUUUUUUUUUUUAGGUAUAUUAUAUCAACUUCUGUGAACGAAAUCUUCAAAAUUAUACAAUUUUGGGAGGUGAUUUUUUUUUUUUAUCCUUUUAGUCUUGAUCUUGAACUAAUUCUAGUAUUGUCAGAUUCUAGGAGGAGAUUUGGGCUCAUCAUCUGUUGAAGGCUGUUGCUUGCAUUCAACAAAUAAUUUCUCUAGUGAUUUCCGUUUGUUUAUCUAACAGAUUUUUACAAAGAGGUAAAAUCUGGCAAUUAAUUGUUCCUUUGAUAAUUUGCAGGAGGAAAUAACUCUCUUAAAGUAGACAAAAUAAUAUUUAGUUUGUUACAGAGUGGAGCUUUAAGAUUGUACAUAAAUCAGUUUCCUAUAUAAUGUAGACUUUCACCUAGUGCCAUGAGGUUUGAGCGUGAUCUGUCGUUGGUUUUGUUACUUCUCUUUAUGCUGACGUUUGUGCUCAUAGAAACUCGUGGCUACUAUUGAAUAGGAAAAAGUGUUUUCUGUAUCAUUGUUGUACUGUAUUGUGUGUUUUUUCAUAUGUGUAAAGUUCAUUGGCAUGGCGACUGUAUACACUGUUCCUUCCAGUAUUGACUUCAUGUUGUUGUUAGCCAAGGCUUUAACUCUCAACGUUUUAAUCUUCAACAUGUUUGUUGUAUGCAUGAUGAAGUGUUGUUAACACAUUCAGAUACCGCACUGAUUGUUGUCAUCUUGUUCCUUUUUAUUUUUGUUUGUUAAUAUCAACUAAAAGUCACUGAACUUGUAUCUUGUAAGACUUUAAGCUUUCCUUUCAAAUUAUUUUAUUUUGUCAAUCACAGCCUCGACUAGGAGCCGUCUUGGUCGUAGACUGGAGUUCAUUUUUAUGGAUCAUAAUAAUACAGAGAAAAUUCGUCUUGGUUUAAUGUGAGUCAGAUUCAUCGUACCAUCUGAUCUGACUGUAUAGGACAGACAUGCAUCUGGACUUUGUCUUGAACAACUGACAAUCAUUUUUUAAACUAGUAUUUUGUGCAAUAUUAAUUUUAAAGUAUCAUAGUUAUCCUUUCAGUAAUGGAUCCUAUCUAUGGUUGAAAUAUAGCUUAGCUCUAUCCGCGUAUAAUUUUCAUAAUCUGGUAGGUUUUUUAUUCAUUAUAAGCGAGUCAUAGAUUUUUAUUUCCUUUGAAGUGAGCAGGCAUUUGAUAAAGAAACACAUAUUUUCUCAGUAGUUUUACCAGAGAACUAAAGAAAUGAAUACAGGCCUGAAUAAGAGUCUGAAUGUUAUGCCUUCCUCUGUUUCUUUAUUUUUUCCUCUUUCAGAAGGGUUUUUUUUUUCAUUUCUGAAGGACUUCACUCUCAUUUAAAAUGGUAUUGUUUAAAAAAACAACUAUUGUAUGCAUUUUGUUAUAGGGACACAAGUCCCAGCAGAUUUUUUUAUUUAUCAGAUUGAUAUGAUUUAGAGUACUAACAUUUUUGUCACUGUUUUUCCCAAAUCAACUCUUGUUGUGGUAUGAAAAUGGGUUGUUAUGAAGCCAGGUCUAAAUACCUCAAGAGAUGGAAGUUCCUAGGUAUGACUCUUUUCCGAUCCAACGGCCAUCUGAGUUCGAGUUCUUCGGCCUGAUCGAAAUUAUGACAAAGAUAAUCUUAUUAGUUCUUAAAAGCUCAUUUCACAAGCUCGCAUCAUAUAUGGACUUAAGUGAAAUCUGUUUUUAUAUAAAUCAUGGUUCCUCCAAUAGACACUGAUGAGUGGCAAAGAGGUUACUCUGGUCAAAAGGAUGUGGCUAAUGAGAAAACUUUUUCUUUUUCAAGUUUUGGAUUUUAUUCAUUCACUUAAAAUGCAGCAGUCAGAUGUCUAAAAAGAGAAAAAUGUGUAGAAGAUUUUGUGGAUUUUACUUCGAGCAAAGUAAGUUUCAUUUUAACUUUUUAAAAGCUGUUGCAUUUCUUUUUGAGUUGUGACCCAAGUAAGUGAGGUUCAUUGAAUUGAGCUAAUCUUUUUUCCUCUAAACUAACUGACUUUUUUUCUUUUUUUUUUUUUGCUGUGUAAACUGUGAUGUUUAGAGGAAGGUUUUUUAAUUCAAUUUUUAAGAGAAUGCUCACAAAGUUUCCUUCAAUUUUAAUUUGUAAUCUGGGCUUUCAGUGUUUCCUUUUACUGUGACGAACCUGGACAUGGCGAAAUUACCCUUUCUUUUACUGCUAUCAACUUUGCCCAUUGCUGAGAAAAUGGUUUCUUACUCUGAAAAUAAUUCAUGAUAAAAUACCUUGUUGUUGCUCUUUCAUUCCUCUGCUUUCACUCUUAAGUGUUCCAUUAGUGAGGUGACAGAACAUUCCUAGAGAAAAAAUAACCUCUGCUGAAGGAGAAUGUGUAUUAUUAUCUAUGUUUCACUCCUCUGCUUUCACUCUUAAGUGUUCCAUUAGUGAGGUGACAGAACAUUCCUAGAGAAAAAAUAACCUCUGCUGAAGGAGAAUGUGUAUUAUUAUCUAUGUUUCACUCCUCUGCUUUCAUUGUGUCCUUAGCUGGGAACGCCCGCCAAGUAGAACAUGUUGUUGUGCGUCGCUUCAUUUUGUGUCUAGCAUAUUAUUAUUAUUAACAGCUGCAUCGUGUAGAUGUCAGCUUGAUGAAUUGGUUUGCUCAGUAUGUUUCGAUAUUGUCCGUUCAUGAUAACUGGAUCUCUUAUUGUUGUAAAAACAAAUGCAUUCUUGUACUUUCAAAGUUUUGUGAUAUUCAUGUAAUUUGUGUCAUUAAAAUUUUUUUUAAUUUGAAAGGCAGUAUGAAUGAGUUUCUUAAAGUAUUAAUUAUUAUUUUGUCCCCUUUUGUUCACCGCUGGGUUUAGUUGUUUUUUUUUGUUGAGUAUUGUUUGUAAAUGAUUCUACUUACCAUGUAGCUCUCUUGCGGACUGUUUAUUGUCAAUGAAUCAUUUACUUGCAGCGUAUUUUAAGUUUUCAUCAUAAUGUUUCCCGUUAUGAGGAAAAUGACAAAAAUCAGUAUUUGACCAUGUUCAGGAAAUUUAUAGAUGUUUUAUUGCACUAAGGUUAUUUUUUUUCUUUUCCAGUCAGUUAAAGAGAAGAGAAAAUAGAAAUUGCUGUGUUCAAAAUCGUGUUUUUUUUUUAAUUCAGUUUUGUUACUUUAAUGAACAUUAAGUAUUAUGUAAAUAUAUAAGUUUUACUUGUGAAUUGGUGUACUUUCAGUGUAGUAUUCUAGUCAGCAACAUAGUAUAAUGGGGGGUUCCCUCUAGAACUGUGCUACCACGUGAUUUUUUAAACACUGAAAUGACUUUUUUUAAUGCAGUCAUGUUCUGUGCAAAAUGUUUUAUUUAUGAAGAGCAUUCAUUUGUGUAUUAACUGCCUAGUCAGUUUGUUUUUUGUUGUUUUGUUUGUUUUAUAUUGGAAUAUUGCCAGUACAGGAAUGUUCAUGAGCCUUUCGUCUGUUUUAUUUUGUACGGCCAUGCUUAAAUUUUGUAAUUGAUAGAAAAUAAUAUGAUGUAAUUAAUUAUAAAUAUCUAAAUGUUUGUGCAAAGCGACAGGGGUGAGAUUUGAGGAGGGGUGUUAGAUGUAGAGACUGCAAUUUGGUUUUGUGUUCAAUUUAUCGCUCUGACCGUGCAUUUUUGUGCCAGAUGAGCUAGCCAUGGAUGAGCUAUGGUUAGAUCGCAGCUUGGCAAAUGAUGUCCUUUUUUUUAAAAAUAAGACAUUUAUUUGCUCUCCUGAACCAUCAGAAAAUAAUCUUCAAACUUUGAAGCAUAAUUCAUGUGUAUCAUUUAUACAUGUAUACAUGUGUCACAACGCGGUGAAAUCAGACACUUGUCAAUUUUUUGGCAUAUGAAGUUAUUGGUAUACUCUUAAAGCCUGUAAAUUUUUCUUUCUUUCGAUGAAAAAAAAGUAUCCGUCUUUCUUACAUAUAAGUCUAGAUAUUUGAGGUUGAUAUGGAUGGGAGGGUUUACCGGUGUCAGAGGUAAAAUUAGCGGGGAAAAUGACCACCAAAGUUGUACUGCAGUGAGCUGACAAAACUCCUUUUUUUCAUUUUGGCACCCUCAUUUUUUAUUUGCUAAAUUGAAAGUCUGAUCGGUUACCCUACUUGUGUGAAAAAAUCAAAGUGAAACUGACUAGGUUUUUAAAUAAAUUUGAAUUCACAAUUUCGGGAGGACUCUAUUUUGCAGUGGUUACGCUGACAAAAAACUUCUUUUUCUCGAAACUACCGUGAAUAAAAAAGACGUUUUGUCAGCUUACAGCAGAGUAGUAUGGUUGGAAAGAGAAAAUUUAUAUAAUGAGUGCCUUAAAGUUUUUUAGUAAAAUUCACACAGAAAUAAAUGUAUCUCUAAACGGACAUAAAAGGUGUUGAGCUUAAAAAAAACAACAACAACAAAAUCAAUAAAUAUUGCACAAUGAGCGGGAAAAUGUCCGUUUCUUCAAUUUCAUUAUUUUAACGAGCGUCUGAUUUCACCACGAUGCCUCACAUUUAUGUACUUCUUCACUUUUACUUUUGCUGCAGAUUAAAGAUACACUGACUUUUCAGAGCAAAAUACGCUCUUCCAUUAUUGAUAUAUAUAUAUUAUUAGUGUUCAUGUAUACCCUCGGGUCUUACACACUAUGGAUAGCAGACAGCUAGCUGUGUGAAUAUGGCCAUAGUUGAGCCUUGCCAGAUAAUACUUAACGUUAAUUGUGUCAAAAUUUGUUUUCAGUCUUGACAGAAUAACCCUUUUAAAUUGUAUGCCCUUCGAAAGAUUUAACAAUUACACCUUCAUUGAACAUAGGGGUUUUCCUUUUAAACUAAAGGGCUGGUAAACCUAGCACGAGCAUAUUUCAUGGUUUCAUCGCCUUGUAAGGCUGGUGCAGAUGGGUCUUUCCAUGUCAAGUUGAAGUAAGGAUAGAGAUUUUUAGAAAUGUUCAAAGGGUUAAGUUUAUAAGAUACUCUUGAUAAGGGACAUUUUGGAAGAAAAGUGAAGCUUCCGAAAUGUACCCCAAGCUCUAUUUGAAUUAUGGUGCCUGGCGUUUGUGUUCUCAUAGCAGAAAUAUGCGUUGCUCUGUAUGGGGGUGGAAUGUAGCAAUGUUGUUGUGACAUUACUUGUCUUUAUUAUUAUUUCUUUUGAUUUUCAACUUCUGAUAAUUUUUUUGUAGUUGACAUUUUGUUAAUAUGGUGUAGCAUAUUUGGUUUUUUUGUGUCUUUUUAUUCACAUAGUUUUGUAACCAGUAUGGUUUUGACAUCAAAUGCAGAAGAAACAGAAACGCAUGUACCAUUGCAUAAGUGAUUUUAUUGAAGCUCGCUCAGUAUAUGUUUGUAAAUUUUGUCUAUUUUUGUGUACUAUGUUUGCUUUCACUACAUCCGAUCUUGACUCAACUAACAUACAGGCAUAAUCACGCUGUUCAGUAUUUGUUUCCAAAUUGGUAAUUUAAAUUAGCUAAACGUUUGAACAUUUGACCAAAUACGUGUAGUCUUUGAUAAGUCUUUAUUUAUUGAGUUUGAAGUGGGAACACAGUUUUGCCUUUGCUUUACCUGUUGUUUUGUGCCUCACUAUGUUCAAAAUAAAAUGUGUAGUGCUGUACAUGUAGCC
rnacentral:misc_RNA from 1 species